rnacentral:tRNA from 1 species
GGGCGCAUAGCUCAGUUGGUUAGAGCGCCUGCCUUACAAGCAGGAUGUCGGGGGUUCGAGUCCCUUUGCGCCCA